rnacentral:lncRNA from 1 species
AUGGAACGUGGUGCCUCACAGGCAGUCUGCUUGGCGUCCUGGACCCUGGCUGUAUCCCGCUGGAAAGGAUUCAACGCAAAAUCAUGCUGCCGUGUUCCGUGUGGGAAGCUUGUUGCAAGAAGGUUGUGGGAAAAUCAAGCUCUACGGAGACCUGAAGCAUCUGAAGACGUUUGACCGGGGAAUGGUCUGGAACACGGACCUGGUGGAGACCCUGGAGCUGCAGAACCUGAUGCUGUGUGCGCUGCAGACCGUCAGUGGAGCAGAGGCGUGGAAGGAGUCACGGGGCGCGCACGCCAGGGAAGACUACAAGGUGCGGAUCGAUGAGUACGAUCACUCCAAGCUCAUCCAGGGGCAACAGAAGAAGCCCUUUGAGGAGCACUGGAGGAAGCACACCCUGUCCUAUGUGGACGUCAGCACUGGGAAGUGCACAGCCAGAGAACAACACAUCACACACAAGAAACAGUUGUGCUCAUGUGAUGGGGGCCUCAGCACUAGGAAGGAGUGGACUGUUGGCGCACGCAGCAGCUUGAAUAAAUCUGAAAGUCACUACGCUGCGUAAGAGAAGCCAAAUAAAGCGCAUGCUGUGUACAGAGGGUGUCGAGAAUGUGUCCUACGUGACGGAAAGCAGAUCCGUGGUUCCCUGCAGACUGGCAGGAGCAGAUUCCAAAGGCACAGGAAGAAGCUUGCAGUACAAAGAUAAAAAUCUAAAGUGGUUGCUGUGGAGGACAGGGGUCAGUGGUGGAAGUGAGACCGAAAUAGACUCUGAAGUAAUAUCUGGACUUUGAAAUU